GACGAACGCUGGCGGCGUGCUUAACACAUGCAAGUCGAACGGAAAGGUCCUGCUUUUGUUGGGUGCUCGAGUGGCGAACGGGUGAGUAACACGUGAGUAACCUGCCCUUGACUUUGGGAUAACUUCAGGAAACUGGGGCUAAUACCGGAUAGGAGCUCUUGCUGCAUGGUGGGGGAUGGAAAGAUUCGGCGGUGGGGGAUGGACUCGCGGCUUAUCAGCUUGUUGGUGGGGUAGUGGCUUACCAAGGCUUUGACGGGUAGCCGGCCUGAGAGGGUGACCGGCCACAUUGGGACUGAGAUACGGCCCAGACGCGUACGGGAGGCAGCAGUGGGGAAUAUUGCACAAUGGGCGGAAGCCUGAUGCAGCAACGCCGCGUGCGGGAUGACGGCCUUCGGGUUGUAAACCGCUUUCGCAUGUGACGAGGCGUGAGUGACGGUAAUGGGUAAAGAAGCACCGGCUAACUACGUG
rnacentral:rRNA from 1 species